rnacentral:rRNA from 1 species
UGGUGGAGUGAUUUGUCUGCUUAAUUGCGAUAACGAACGAGACCUUAACCUGCUAAAUAGUCAGGCCAGCUUCAGCUGGUCGCAGGCUUCUUAGAGGGACUAUCGGCUUCAAGCCGAUGGAAGUUUGAGGCAAUAACA